AGCAGCCGCGGUAAUUCCAGCUCCAAUAGCGUAUAUUAAAGUUGUUGCAGUUAAAAAAGCUCGUAGUUGAAUUUCGGGGUUAGUAGGUUGGUCAUGCCCCUGGUAUGUACUGGUCUCACUGAUUCCUCCUUCCUUAUGAACCGUAAUGCCAUUAAUUUGGUGUUGCGGGAAAUUUGGACUGUUACUUUGAAAAAAUUAGAGUGUUUAAAGCAAGCUAACACUUGAAUACAUUAGCAUGGAAUAAUGAAAUAGGACGUUCGAUCUUAUUUUGUUGGUUUCUAGGAUUGACGUAAUGAUUAAUAGGGAUAGUUGGGGGGCAUUAGUAUUCAAUUGUCAGAGGUGAAAAUUCUUGGAUUUAUUGAAGACUAACUACUGCGAAAGCAUUUGCCAAGGAUGUUUUCAUUAAUCAAGAACGAAAGUUAGGGGAUCGAAGACGAUCAGAUACCGUCGUAGUCUUAACCAUAAACUAUGCCGACUAGGGAUCGGAUGAUGUUAAUUUUUUUAAUGACUCAUUCGGCGC
rnacentral:rRNA from 1 species